rnacentral:rRNA from 1 species
UACGAAGGUCCCAAGCGUUGUUCGGAAUCACUGGGCGUAAAGGGUGCGUAGGCGGCGACGUAAGUCAGAUGUGAAAUUUUUGGGCUCAACCCAGGGACUGCAUCCGAUACUGCGUUGCUAGAGGAGCGGAGAGGAGUCUGGAAUUCACGGUGUAGCAGUGAAAUGCGUAGAGAUCGUGAGGAACACUAGUGGCGAAGGCGAGACUCUGGACGCUAACUGACGCUGAGGCACGAAGGCCAGGGGAGCAAAAGGG